UAGUCCACGCCGUAAACGAUGUCAACUAGCCGUUGGUGGGCUUGACCCAUUAGUGGCGCAGCUAACGCACUAAGUUGACCGCCUGGGGAGUACGGCCGCAAGGUUAAAACUCAAAUGAAUUGACGGGGGCCCGCACAAGCGGUGGAGCAUGUGGUUUAAUUCGAUGCAACGCGAAGAACCUUACCAUCCCUUGACAUCCAGAGGAUCUGUUAGAGAUAGUAGAGUGCCUUCGGGAGCUCUGAGACAGGUGCUGCAUGGCUGUCGUCAGCUCGUGUUGUGAAAUGUUGGGUUAAGUCCCGCAACGAGCGCAACCCUUAUCCUUAGUUGCCAGCACGUAAAGGUGGGAACUCUAACGAGACUGCCUACGCAAGUAGCGAGGAAGGCGGGGACGACGUCAAAUCAUCAUGGCCUUUAUGCCCAGGGCUACACACGUGCUACAAUGGCAGGUACAAUGGGUCGCCAACCCGCAAGGGGGAGCCAAUCCCAAAAAUCCUGUCCCAGUUCGG
rnacentral:rRNA from 1 species